AUGCAUCAGCUUUUGUCAAUACGUUGGCAAACUCUAACUGCUGAAGAUAUCGAGCCUCUAACAACUGGCUUGACUCAACCAACUGUCGUACACGAGCCUCCAGCCUAGUGAUUCUUUCAAUGAUAUCUUCGAUAGUGCUGCUUUCUAAAACAGACUCAUAACUAGGAGGAAGAUUGUGAUCUGGGACAUGAAUGCCAUUCAAGUCGAUUUCUGAGUGAAGAUAGCGAAGUAGUCGCUCAGUAUCAGUCAAGCGUCGAAUUUCACGAACGAAGGAUCG